AGUACGAUAAGAUGAUUAAGUGCAAUAGCGGCAUGAAAUGCGUCAAGUGUCUCACCCAUAUGCUCCAUGAACUCCUUUGUACACUGUGGCACUGCAUAAAUUUGCAAGUUUUAUCUAUUUGUAUUCCCUCAUUUCCUGCUGUAAGUCUACCCAUUUUACUCUCCUACUGUUUGUUUAAACUAUGCCCUAAACUGCGCACAUCAAUCAAAUGUUCAUUUUCUUGUUUAUCUUUUGUUGUUAUAUAUAUAUUCAUAUUUUGGUUUAUGUGAAGUUGUUUAAAAUAGAAUGUUUAGAUUUGUCAAUUUUAUUUUAUUAACUGCACUUCUGGGUUUUAGUUGUGUUUUGUUCUUUGUUUUUAUCUUUUUUCUUUCUUUUAGAAUGUGAUGACAUAGGGAGCACUGAAAUGUUUCUGUCUCCCUUGGAGAUAUUUAAUUGGAAAGAAAUAACAAUUGCAUUUUAUAUGACCAGAUAAGGAAAAAGAAUAAAGUGGCUCAGUUAAGGAGAAAUGGCAUUACAAUUUAGUGCAAAAAUUAUAGACUUUCUAAACAGGUUUGAAACUAUAACACUAUAUCCCUCUAAAAAUAAAGCAAACAGAGUAAUAAAGCUUUUAACAUUUUAAUUCAGAAUUCCCCCAAAUAGCUACUAGACAUUGCAGUACACAAAAAAAUCUACUAAUUCAAGUACUUCAAUUGACUGACUGUGCAUUAUGCAAAAUGCGAUUCAGAAUAGCUUUAUUGCUUUAAGUGACCAUUAUGCAGGUUCUUACAUAUACUGUAGGUACAUUUUUUUUUUUUUACAUUCUUUAUUUGAAAUGUUUUUUUGCAGAAGUAACAUGAACAUUUUGCAAUACAAGACAUAGCAGCAAUUCAGCAUCAGCAAGUGAUGUACAUAGUUACAUAGUUACAUAGCUGAAAAGAGACUUGCGUCCAUCAAGUUCAGCCUUCCUCACAUUUGUUUUUUGCUGUUGAUCCAAAAGAAGGCAAAAACCCAGUUUGAAGCACAAUUUUGCAACAAGCUAGGAAAAAAAUUCCUUCUUGACCCCAGAAUGGCAGUCAGAUUUAUCCUUGGAUCAAGCAGUUAUUACCCUACAUUGAAAGAUUAUAUCCUUGAAUAUUCUGUUCUUGCAAGUAUGCAUCUAGUAGCCGUUUGAACAUCUGUAUGGACUCUGAUAAAACCACUUCCUCAGGCAGAGAAUUCCACAUCCUGAUUGUUCUUACAGUAAAAAAACCUUUCCUUUGCCUUAGGCGAAAUCUUCUUUCUUCCAGUCUAAACGCAUGGCCUCGUGUCCUAUGUAAAGUCCGGUUUGUGAAUAGAUUUCCACACAAUGGUUUGUAUUGGCCCCGAAUAUAUUUGUAUAAUGUUAUCAUAUCCCCUCUCAGGCGACGUUUUUCUAAACUAAAUAGGUUUAAAUUUGUUAACCUUUCUUCAUAGCCGAUAUGUUCCAUUCCUUUUAUUAAUUUUGUAGCCCGCCUCUGCACUUUUUUCUAGUGCCAUAAUAUCCUUCUUUAGAACAGGUGCCCAAAAUUGCACAGCAUAUUCAAUAUGGGGUCUUACCAGUGAUUUAUAAAGAGGCAAAAUGAUAUUCUUGUCCUGAGAAUGAAUGCCCUUUUUCAUGCAUGACAAUACCUUACUGGCCUUGGCCACUGCUGAUUGACAUUGCACAUUGUUGCAUAGUUUGUUGUCUAUAACAAUUCCUAAGUCCUUUUCAUGUGUUGUUAUCCCUAAUUCGCUUCCAUUAAGGGUAUACGUUGCUUGUGUAUUCUUUACGCCGAAGUGCAUAACUUUGCAUUUUUCAACAUUAAAUUUCAUCUGCCAUUUGAGUGCCCAGUCCCCCAGUCUAUCUAAAUCCUCUGCAGCAAAGUAAUAUCUUGCUCACAUUGUAUUGUUUUACAAAGUUUUGUGUCAUCUGCAAACACUGAAACAUGACUUUCAAUGCGGUCUUCAAGAUCAUUUAUAAACAUAAGUAAAUAGAAGGGGUCCCAGAACAGACCCCUGAGGGACAAUUCACUUGCCACCCUGUCCAGCUUGAAAAUUUUUCUACCAUUAAUGACAACUCUUUGUAAUUUGCUUUUAAGCCAAUGUUCUACCCAAGAACAAGCAUUUUCAUCUAGACUGAUUUCCUGAGUUUGAAAUAAUUAAUCUAUUGUGUGAACUUGUAUCAAAUGCCUUGGCAAAAACUAAAAGAUCACAUCCACGCAACACCCUGAUCUAUACUUCUACUUACUUCUUCGUAGAACGCAAUCAAGUUAGUUUGACAUGACCUGUGCUUCAUAAAACCAUGCUGAUUUUUGCUGAUAACCAUGUUCUUCAAGGAAUUCUUGAAUAUUAUCCCUUAAUAAACUUUCAAAUAUUUUUCCAGCCACAGAAGUUAAGCUCACAGGUCUAUAAUUUCCAGGCAAGGAUUUUGAACCCUUUUUGAAUAUAGGAACCACAUCUGCCUUCCUCCAAUCCUCCGGAACACUUCCUGAAAGAAAAGAAUCUUGAAAGAUUAAAAACAGAGGUUCACUUAUUUCUGCACUUAGUUCCUUAAGUACACGCGGAUGGAUACCGUCAGGCCCUGGAGCUUUGUUUAUAUUAACUUUCNNNNNNNNNNNNNNNNNNNNNNNNNNNNNNNNNNNNNNNNNNNNNNNNNNNNNNNNNNNNNNNNNNNNNNNNNNNNNNNNNNNNNNNNNNNNNNNNNNNNCAGUAUGGACAAAGGCUUUCCGGCAGACGAAUUGAAAAAAUGUAUUAAAGAAGUGUCUGCUGUAAUUGAGGAAGUGGAACUCUCAAGAAGUAAGGUGAAAGGCUUCCCCACACAUCCCAGAACUCUGGAGUUGCUCCAGAGGGAAUGGAAAAACCCGGAAAGACGGGCAUUUAUAUNNNNNNNNNNNNNNNNNNNNNNNNNNNNNNNNNNNNNNNNNNNNNNNNNNNNNNNNNNNNNNNNNNNNNNNNNNNNNNNNNNNNNNNNNNNNNNNNNNNNCCAAGCAUUUUAAACAGAUCUUCAUGUUACGAUCCGAAGAUAGAUGGGAAGAUCUCCCUAUGGAAGAUAUACAGGUGGCACAGUUGUCCAAGAAAAAAACUAUUCCAAUAGAAGUUUCAGGUCUAAAAGAGCCUAUGAACAAAUGUGCAGUGACUUCACAUAGGUCAUAUAAGGCUGCAGGCUACCAGUGCAAAACAGCUAUUGCAGGGGCAGUAGUGGUGAAAACACAAAAUCUCUGGCUCCUAUCCCUAGAAGAUUUAGUUAUGGAUAACACAAAUAAAGACCUGUCAACCUUAUUUGGUUAUCUAACGAUUUCGUGCUGGAUAUGACUGAGGAGAUGUUAGAGCUGUCAGCCCGCAUCAUGGGUUUAUCAUCUGUAGCCCAAAGUGCAUUAUGGCUGAGAAUAUGGACGGCAGACACAGCUUCUGAAGUUACUUUGUGUGAACUGCCUUUUGAAAAGAACAAGUUAUUUGGUUCUCAACUGGAGGAGAUCAUAAAACUGAUGGCAGACACCAAAAAAGCUCUCCCACAAGAUCUUAGGACGUCUGGAGCAGCAGCUACAGAAGAUUUCAGAACCGAGGUCAGAGGCAUUAUCGUGGCAAAUACAAAUACAGGAAAUUUCGUAAACCUUUCAGAGAGGUCAAAAACAAACAACAUAAGAAAAGGAGAUAUUGAUGCCAGAAGAGUAGGGGGUCAGCUCAGAUUCUUUGUUCUACAAUGGGAAGGAACCACUUCAAAUCAGUGGAUAUUGAAUACCGUAGCAAAGAGUUACAGAAUAAAAUUCUCAAAGCAUCCUGGCCUGAAAUUUUUGGUAUCAACUUACCAGUCAAGAGAAAAAUCCGAAGCAGCUCUGACCCUGUUAAAAAGGCAGUUAUAGAAAGGGUGCCCAAACAACAAGAGUUCCAGGGAGUGUACUCUCACCUUUUUCUAGUCCAACAGCCAGACAAAACAUUCCAGCCUAUUCUAGACCAGAAGAGAGUCAAUGCCUGUAUACCUUACCAAUGGUUUCAUAAGGAGAACAUUUUAGCUGUAACCCACAUGCUGCAACAAGGAGAUUACAUGGCAAAAAUAGAUUUAAGAGAUGCUUAUCUCCAUGUGCCGAUGGCAGUGAAUUUAAGGAGAUAUCUCAAAAAAAUCUGGAAAGAGGAAGCUUCUUCAUUUCCAGUACAAGGCACUACCUUUUGGCCUAUUAUCAGCCCAUGUUUUCACAAAACUCCUUCCAUUAUCAGCGGCGCUAAGACUGAGAGGCAUAACGAUCGUCCCUUACUUAGACGACUGGCUCCUAAAGGCAGAUUCUGAAGAACAACUAUGCAGGCACCUGCAAGUGACCAUUUUUUUCUUAAAAAUCCAUGGAUGGAUACAUUCCAACAAAUCUGAAAUGUGUCCUUCUACAAACAUACAGUUUCAAGGUCUGUGGGUGGAUUCAAGUCUCCUUUCCAUUUCCCUACCAGUAGAGUAGGUAGGAAAUUUCUAUUCUCCAGAGUAAAGACUCCUGCUCCACUUUCUAAAAAACAAAUAUCUUCCAGUGGAGACCAUAAGGAUGUAACAAUUGAUGGCAUGGUUGCUGCAAGAAUGAUUCUUAAAGAACAAGGCGUGUCUGACAGAAUUAGUGAUGUUCUUCUGUCCUCAACUCGCUGAUUCACAAACAAGAUUUACCUUAGGUUCUGGCAUAAAUUCCUACAAUGGUGUUCACAAAAGGGAUGACUCUUUUAAUCUAUCGAUUCCAUGCAUCCUUUCUUUUUUGCAAGAUGCUUUCUCUGCAGGUCUUAGUGUGUCUACUCUCAAAGUUCAGGUAUCAGCCCUCGGCCAUUUACUGAUACAAGAUUUCACAUCCAACAGGCUCAUUUGUAGAUUUUUUAAGCUGUUCUUCUGAAACGUCCUCCAAGGCUCUCUUCUUCUCUCUAGGCCAACUAUUGCUAGAUGGCUUAUUGCAGUUAUCAAACUGGCUUAUAAGGUCAGUAAUCCCUCCCUUCCGUUCCCGGUCAAGGAUAUAUGUAAUGCUACUUGGUCUUCCCUUUCUACUUUUAUCAAGCAUUACAGGCUGGAUAUAUUCUCUUCCUCUGAAGCUGCUUUUGGGCAAAAGGUGCUCCAAGCGUUGGCCUAUUGAUUUUCCACCCAUUUUGUUAAGGGAUCUUGCUAUCUCUCACAUGUUGUAGUACUGCCUCUUACGACAAGAAAAACAGUAAUUUUAGUUACCGUAAAUUCUAUUUUCCUUAGUAUAGUGGCAGUACUGCAUGUUUCCCUCCCAUUGGAUAAUAAAUACAUGUUGCAGUUGAUUGGUCUCCGUAUGGUUAUUCAGGAUUCCUCUCUCACAGUUUCUUUACAAACAGAAGAUAAUUUCUCAGAAUUAGGUGUCCAUAUUCCGUAUUGAAACGUCGAGUGAAAUGUCAGGUGUCGGGUUCAGUGACUUCUGUCACUACUUUGAAGUAAUGUAUGCAGAUGUAUUGAUUAUUUACUUUUCACACAGUGGUGUUUAUUUACCCUGCUUCUGAGAUAGAGACAUAUAUUGGUAUUUAACCCCUUAACAACACAACAGCUGGAAUAAAAGGGAAUCAUGACGGAAUAUUUCCGUCAUAUGUCCUUAAGGGGUUAAACAUUUAUGUUUUGUAUUACUGUUGUUUUAACUAUCCUGAUUAAAUAAAUAUAUACAUUUUUAUAAUACAUACGAUGUAUUAUAGGAUUUUUGACUACGAGGGGUUUUUAAACCCAUCUUGCACCCUUACCUUUCUAAUAUUCAGCAACUUUGGUUGUGUGCUCCUAAACCUUUCUGACCAAUCAGGAAAGUGUCUUGUGAAAAAGGUACACAUGGCUAAAAGGCAUAUUUAUACAUGAGGGUUUAUGACGUCCUUUCAAAUGUUUAAACACGUUUGUAACACAAUAAAGCUGCUUUAGUCUGGAAAAUCAGCUUUCUCCUCAUUAUGUUCCACCCUUAGACAGUAAAGACAUUUUCAAAACCUCUUCGUUCCAUACAGAUUUGGCCUUGUAUAACGGACAUAAUAGCUUGCUUUUCUUUCCAUGUGUCCUACUGCAGGUCAUGCUAAAUUCCCAUUCACCAAAAAUAUAUUUAACUUGGGGGAUUACAGCAGCGCACAACAAUGUUUAAGAACUUAAAUUCGAUUAUAUAUAUAUAUAUAUAUAUAUAUAUAUAUAUAUAUAUAAUCUUUUUAUUUAAUCUGAAAAUGACUUGUAAUGAAAAUAUAAAUUGGUUUAUCUUAGACUAACAAAAUCUUAGAUUAAUAAUCAGACAAUUUACAAAUGGUUCCAGAGAAUGUUUUUCAAACUUAGCGACGAAACCAUUAAAUGUAUGUUUAUAUUUAAUCAAAUUUUAACUGAAAUAAAGUGUCACUACUCCUAUCGGCUUGUUUAUUUGCUUCGAAAAAGCAUAGCCAGUAAAUCUUCAUACGGAAGGCUUAAUUAACAACACACGGCAUAUCAAGGGAUGUCCCAAAAUAUAACUGAAACCCCCAGAUGCUGGCGUUGUAGAGAGUGUUAUGUGAAGUACGAUAAGAUGAUUAAGUGCAAUAGCGGCAUGAAAUGCGUCAAGUGUCUCACCCAUAUGCUCCAUGAACUCCUUUGUACACUGUGGCACUGCAUAAAUUUGCAAGUUUUAUCUAUUUGUAUUCCCUCAUUUCCUGCUGUAAGUCUACCCAUUUUACUCUCCUACUGUUUGUUUAAACUAUGCCCUAAACUGCGCACAUCAAUCAAAUGUUCAUUUUCUUGUUUAUCUUUUGUUGUUAUAUAUAUAUUCAUAUUUUGGUUUAUGUGAAG
rnacentral:lncRNA from 1 species